rnacentral:rRNA from 1 species
UCUCAAGUAUGAAAAGGGCAUUUCGUGGAUGCCUAGGUGCCAAGAGGCGAUGAAGGACGUAAUACGCUGCGAUAAGCUUCGGGGAGGUGCGAAUAACCUUUGAUCCGAAGAUUUCCGAAUGGGGAAACCCACCCCUGUAGGGGUAUCCUGAACUGAAUACAUAGGUUCAGGAAGCGAACCCGGUGAACUGAAACAUCUAAGUAACCGGAGGAAAGGACAUCAACCGAGACUCCGUUAGUAGUGGCGAGCGAACGCGGACCAGGCCAGUGGCCUGUACUGAACCAACCCGAACCGUCUGGAAAGUCGGACCAGAGUGGGUGAUAGUCCCUUAGGGUAAGGUGACGUACAGGUCCUCGAGUAGGGCGGGACACGUGAAAUCCUGUCUGAACAUGGGGGGACCAUCCUCCAAGCCUAAGUACUCCUUGGCGACCGAUAGUGAACAAGUACCGUGAGGGAAAGGUGAAAAGCACCCCGAUAAGGGGAGUGAAACAGAUCCUGAAACGGAAUGCCUACAAGCAGUCGGAGCACCAUUAAGGUGUGACGGCGUACCUUUUGUAUAAUGGGUCAGCGACUUAAUUUUACGAGCAAGCUUAAGCCGUUAGGUGUAGGCGUAGCGAAAGCGAGUCUGAAUAGGGCGACUGAGUUCGUAGGAUUAGACCCGAAACCGAGUGAUCUAGCCAUGGGCAGGUUGAAGGUGAGGUAACACUCACUGGAGGACCGAACCCACCUAUGUUGAAAAAUGGGGGGAUGACCUGUGGUUAGGGGUGAAAGGCCAAUCAAACUCGGAAAUAGCUGGUUCUCCGCGAAAUCUAUUUAGGUAGAGCGUCGUGUGAAUGCCAUCGGGGGUAGAGCACUGGAAGGGCUAGGGGUCCCCACAGGAUUACCAAACCUUACCAAACUCCGAAUACCGAUGAGUAAUGCACGGCAGACAGACUUAGGGUGCUAAGGUCCUAAGUCGAAAGGGAAACAGCCCAGACCGCCAGCUAAGGUCCCCAAAUUAUGGCUAAGUGGUGAAGGAUGUGGGAAGGCCAAGACAGCCAGGAGGUUGGCUUAGAAGCAGCCAUCCUUUAAAGAAAGCGUAACAGCUCACUGGUCUAAAUAAGCCGUCCUGCGCCGAAAAUGUAACGGGGCUAAAGCCAUAUACCGAAGCUGCGGAUGUACACUUCCUACGGGUUGUGUACGUGGUAGCGGAGCGUUCCGUAAGCCUGCGAAGGUGUGCCGCGAGGUAUGCUGGAGGUAUCGGAAGUGAGAAUGCUGACAUGAGUAGCGAUAAUGAGGGUGAGAAACCCUCACGCCGAAAGUCCAAGGGUUCCUGUGCAAUGCUAAUCAGCGCAGGGUUAGUCGGCCCCUAAGGCGAGGCAGAAAUGCGUAGUCGAUGGGAAUCAGGUUAAUAUUCCUGAACCUGCUGGAAGUGACGGUUGCUGGACGUAGUGUGCUCUUAACGGAUUGAGCAUGCUGCCAAGGUGGCCCAGGAAAUAACUCCAGCUUAUAGACCGUACCCUAAACCGACACAGGUGGACAGGUAGAGUAUACCAAGGCGCUUGAGAGAACUGUAUUGAAGGAACUCGGCAAAUUGCAUGCGUAACUUCGGGAUAAGCAUGCCCCGCUUUUGGGCAACCAGGGGCGGGGGGCACAGACUAGGGGGUGGCGACUGUUUACUAAAAACACAGGGCUCUGCUAAGCCGCAAGGCGAUGUAUAGGGUCUGACGCCUGCCCGGUGCUGGAAGGUUAAGAGGAUGGGUGCAAGCUCAGAAUCGAAGCCCCAGUAAACGGCGGCCGUAACUAUAACGGUCCUAAGGUAGCGAAAUUCCUUGUCGGGUAAGUUCCGACCUGCACGAAUGGCGUAACGACUUCCCCACUGUCUCCAAUACAGACUCAGCGAAAUUGAAUUCUCCGUGAAGAUGCGGAGUACACGCGGUUAGACGGAAAGACCCCGUGCACCUUUACUACAGCUUUGCAGUGGUACUAGAGAAUAACUAUGUAGGAUAGGUGGGAGCCUAUGAAGCGUUGACGCCAGUUGACGUGGAGGCAACCUUGAAAUACCACCUUUUUGUUGUUUGGUAUCUAACCGAGACCCCUGAACCGGGGUCCGGGACACUGCAUGGUGGGUAGUUUGACUGGGGCGGUCGCCUCCCAAAGAGUAACGGAGGCGCGCGAUGGUAAGCUCAGGCCGGUCGGAAAUCGGUCGUCGAGUGCAAUAGCAUAAGCUUGCCUGACUGCGAGACUGACAAGUCGAGCAGAGACGAAAGUCGGCUAUAGUGAUCCGGUGGUCCCGAAUGGAAGGGCCAUCGCUCAACGGAUAAAAGGUACGCCGGGGAUAACAGGCUGAUGAUUCCCAAGAGUCCAUAUCGACGGAAUCGUUUGGCACCUCGAUGUCGGCUCAUCACAUCCUGGGGCUGGAGCAGGUCCCAAGGGUUCGGCUGUUCGCCGAUUAAAGUGGUACGUGAGCUGGGUUUAGAACGUCGUGAGACAGUUCGGUCCCUAUCUGCCGUGUGCGUAGAAGAAUUGAGAGGAGUUGCCCCUAGUACGAGAGGACCGGGGUGAACAUACCUCUGGUGGACCAGUUGUUACGCCAGUAGCAUAGCUGGGUAGCUAAGUAUGGACAGGAUAACCGCUGAAAGCAUCUAAGCGGGAAGCCCCCCUCGAGAUUAAUUCUUCCUUGAGAACCGUGGAAGACCACCACGUUGAUAGGCUGGGUGUGGAAGCGCAGUAAUGCGUGUAGCUAACCAGUACUAAUUGUUCAAUUGGCUUUAGAGC